rnacentral:lncRNA from 1 species
CCCCGAGCGGAGCGGGCCCAGGACCCUAUCGGCUGUCGAGCCGGUGCUGCCGCGGCCACCGCCACCGCCCAGGGGCUCCGGGGCUGUGGGGAGCGGCUGAACUCAAUACCGCCUCCGCGCUGACUGGAAGGCACUGCGGCCGCGCCUGCCUGCCCCACCUCGUAAGGGCCUGUGACCUCACGAGGCCAGCCGCCGGGCGCUGCAUUCGAGCGGUGGGGCUCCUGUCCGUGCGCUUUCCUCCCGCAGCCCCGGCCGGGAUUCCGCCCUCCGUCCUUGCCACCCGCUCGCCACUCUUCCCUAAUCGCUGUUCAUUCUCCGGUGCGCUGUCCCGCCAUGGUCUGACCCCACUUCAAUCUUACCUUCGAACUUCAGAUUGAAAAGCAUGUACUUGAGUAGCUGUAUUUAAGGAAUUACACCCAAGAAGUCUCAUCUUCCCUGGACUUACGUAGAGGAUAAGAUUCUGAACUUUGAAUUGAUGCUAUAAUGGGAUAAGACUUUGGGGCCUUAGAAGGGAGACCAGGACCUGCCAGCCAAGACAAUAUUUUGGGUUCUUUCCCAAAAUACUUAGUCAUCUAAAAUCAUAACCCUAUUGAAAGCUGCCUUCCUGUUCAACCCCAGUCAACAACUAAAACAGAGGCAUGUCACCCCUCUGGGGGUCAGGCUGAGUAUACUCUGCAGAGCUCUGCUUCCCACAAAUGUCAGGAGAACAAAGGCCAUGAAGGUGUUAAAGGGAAGCAAGCGAUCGACAGCAUUGGUUGGUGACAAACCUGUGGCUGGUCUGUGUAUGAUGGGAUGGAUUCCUCCUGCUCCCAGAAGGCACUGUACUUUCAGUGUUCAGGGCAGCCUUGCCUUAGUGCCUCAAACCUAUCCCUACAUCCUGCAGUAAACUUGGAAAGGUAACACCUCUAACCAUCAGGCCUUCCUCUGAAGCACAGUCAAGUUGCUCUUGGCAACCAUCUCAAUUUUAAUAGUGCAGAUGCCAUGUGCUG